UACGGAGGGUGCAAGCGUUAUCCGGAUUCACUGGGCUUAAAGGGUGCGUAGGCGGACAGGUAAGUCAGUGGUGAAAUCUCUGGGCUUAACUCAGAAACUGCCGUUGAUACUAUCUGUCUUGAAUAUUGUUGAGGUAGGCGGAAUAUAUCAUGUAGCGGUGAAAUGCAUAGAUAUGAUAUAGAACACCGAUUGCGAAGGCAGCUUACUAAACAAUUAUUGACGCUGAGGCACGAAAGCGUGGGGAUCAAACAGG
rnacentral:rRNA from 1 species